rnacentral:rRNA from 1 species
GACGAACGCUGGCGGCGUGCUUAACACAUGCAAGUCGAACGGUGACGAGGAAGCUUGCUUCUUCUGAUCAGUGGCGAACGGGUGAGUAACACGUGAGUAACCUGCCCCAGACUCUGGGAUAAGCCUUGGAAACGAGGUCUAAUACCGGAUAUGAGACCGGACUGCAUGGUCUGGUUUGGAAAGUUUUUCGGUCUGGGAUGGACUCGCGGCCUAUCAGCUUGUUGGUGAGGUAAUGGCUCACCAAGGCGACGACGGGUAGCCGGCCUGAGAGGGCGACCGGCCACACUGGAACUGGGACACGGUCCAGACUCCUACGGGAGGCAGCAGUGGGGAAUAUUGCACAAUGGGCGCAAGCCUGAUGCAGCGACGCCGCGUGGGGGAUGAAGGCCUUCGGGUUGUAAACCCCUUUCAGCAGGGAAGAAGCGAGAGUGACGGUACCUGCAGAAGAAGCGCCGGCUAACUACGUGCCAGCAGCCGCCGUAAAAC